GGAAAUUGUUACCACAGGUAUUCAGGAAAUAGCUGGCAAGAAGAAUGCUGUGGUUCAUAUUCCCUCUGGGCAAACACAAGAUUGGCACAGUGCAUAACCAAGCCAAAAAACUCAUAAAUACAGAUGAAAAGAAAAUUCAGCAUAAUCCCUUUCCAAAGCUGAUCCUCAGUGCAUCUCUGAGAUGACAGGCUGUGUACACGCCUGGCUGUCUGCUGACAUUAUAAUGGUUGAUAAGACUUCUGCAAAUGAGUAGCAGGGAAUGAUCAAGUAGAACAGCUUUUGUUUCCAUGAAGCAUUCUUAGUUGCCUGAAAUAGACCUCCAGUUGCAUUUCACAUAACCUUAGCAGAAAACUUCACUGCCUAAAAUCUGCACUGCAGCAAUCUCUGAAGCAGAGUUGGGAAGAGCACUGAACCAACAGAGUACUGUCUCACUGAAAUGAAACUGUUUUACAGAAAGAUUACCACAAGACGAAUCAAGAAAAUAUAUAGCAGAAACAUGCUGAAUAAUUUGAGUACUGGAUGUCAGCAACCCACCUGUCUUGUUGACUACCCACCUUCCAAAACCCCAUUUUCUUUCAUUUUUUCACAAAUCAGGCUGUAGCUGGUUAUGCAGGAGCUUCCCCAACACUUCAUAGCAACCUGCUUUCUGACCUUACUUUUUCAAAAUGCAGUCUUCAGACAGGAAUUUCAGCCUGCAUAUGGUUUGAGAACAACAGCCAGAUCUUUGUUGUUGAUGCUCCUAUCUCCAGAGGAGACAAGGUUAACAUCUGACUGAAGGCAUACCACAUGGGGUUUCAGAGAUCAAGGAAUAUCUGGACAAGUCAGAAGAAUCUUACUGAAAAGGGACACAUUAAGAGCAACAGUACAAGCAGCACCAAGCUGGCACUGCCUACCCCAACCUGGGCAAGGGAGGUAAGCAGGCUGGGUGCUGAGUUCCUGCCUGCCUGGGUACAAGUAGGCUGCUCUGGAGCAGAGUGGCUGUUUGCACAGCACAGAGCCAAAGCUGUGCACUGCUCUGUGCGUUGCAGUUUGCUGCAAACUCAUCAGCACAGCCUUUGUUACUCAGAGCUUAGUGCUGUUUCCUAUUUCAUGGUGUCAAGCAUCUUUAAAAUAGGAAAACCGAAGGUGGUCUGAGCCUCUCACAUAUUGUAAUAAUAAAGUUAUGUUCAGCUCCUCUCAUAAGCUUGUUUCUGUGCCUAUAAUUUCCUAAUGGUAACUUUUACUGUCUCUAGACCCAAACCUGACAGUCCUCUUCCUCU
ensembl:lncRNA